rnacentral:tRNA from 1 species
AGUAGGGUCAGCUAAAUUAAGCUUUCGGGCCCAUACCCCGACAAUGUUGGUCCAAGCCCCUCCUCUACUA